rnacentral:rRNA from 1 species
UACGUAGGGGGGCUAGCGUUGUCCGGAAUCAUUGGGCGUAAAGCGCGUGUAGGCGGUCCGGUAAGUCCGCUGUGAAAGUCGGGGGCUCAACCCUCGGAUGCCGGUGGAUACUGUCGGGCUUGAGUACGGAAGAGGCGAGUGGAAUUCCUGGUGUAGCGGUGAAAUGCGCAGAUAUCAGGAGGAACACCAACGGGCGAAGGCAGCCCGCUGGGACGGUAACUGACCGCUAAGGGCGCGAAAGCGUGGGGAGCGAACAGG